AUGAUUAAGUCGAAAUUAUUGAAGUGAUAAGGUUUUCAUAAGUCAAAAGGUGAAAUGAUGAGAUGAAAGGUGUCAACUUUUGACAAUAAGGCUAAAUCAUUGAAAAUAAGGAAUUUUCAUCAACCUUAUCACUUUGCACGACCAUUAUUCUGAAAAACAGAGAGAAAAGAAAACCAAAAACCAUUUCUUGGCUGGUUUGAAGAAAUUCUAAGGAGAUCCAAGUGAAAUCAAAGCCAAAGAAGUAGAUUAAGCUUAGUUCUAGCCUUUUUAUGAUAUUUCUUGGGGUUUCCAAGUGGUUUGAGGUUUAGAAAAGCUUGAAGAGAUUGUCUUCGCCGAAAAGUUGCUCGGUAGAGAAAGAAAUAUGUGAAUGAUAUGAGGAGAACUGAAGCAUGGUCCUGACCUUGAUUUGUACAUAUGAACACAUCGACCUUUUUGUGGGUUAUUUCAGUUAUCAGUGAAAUGUUUGUAAUAAAGUGUGAAGUUAUGUUUUGAAAACAAAUUGGGUUAUUUAAUACUUAUGUAUAAUAUGUUUGAGACCCACUUUAUGUUUAAUGUAAAUAAUGUGAAAUAA